UUUACUUUAAAAAAAUCAUGCCUAUAUGGAGGCGGCGAAGGAGCCCGCCAUGGAGCACGUGACGGAGGGUUCCUGGGAGUUGCUGCCAGUGCCACUGUACCCACGGGUGCUGGGCGCACUGCGGGAGCUGGGCUUCCCAUACAUGACGCUGGUGCAGCUGCGCUCACCUGCAACCAUCCCUCUGUUCUUGCGAAACAAAGAUGUUGCUGCAGAAGCGGUCACAGGUAGUGGCAAAACACUCGCUUUUGUCAUCCCCAUCCUGGAAAUUCUUCUGAGAAGAGAAGAGAAGUUAAAAAAAAGUCAGGUUGGAGCCUUAAUCAUCACCCCCACUCGAGAGCUGGCCAUUCAAAUAGACGAGGUCCUGUCGCAUUUCACGAAGCACUUCCCUCAAUUCAGCCAGAUUCUUUGGAUUGGAGGCAGAAAUCCUGGAGAAGAUGUUGAGAGGUUUAGGCAACAAGGUGGGAACAUCAUUGUGGCCACUCCCGGCCGCUUGGAAGACAUGUUCCGAAGGAAGGCAGAAGGCCUGGAUCUGGCCGGCUGUGUGCGAUUCCUGGAUGUCCUGGUGUUGGACGAGGCAGACAGACUUUUGGACAUGGGGUUCGAGGCAAGCAUCAACACUAUCCUGGAGUUGUUGCCAAAGCAGAGGAGAACAGGCCUUUUCUCAGCCACUCAGACGCUGGAGAACUUGGUGAGAGCUGGCCUCCAGAACCCUGUCCGGGUCUCAGUGAAGGACAAGGGCGUGACAGCCAGCCGCGCCCAGAAGACCCCCUCCCGCCUGGAAAACUACUACAUGGUAUGCAAGGCAGAUGAGAAAUUUAAUCAGCUGGUCCAUUUCCUUUGCAGUCAUAAGCAGGAGAAACACCUGGUCUUCUUCAGUACCUGUGCCUGUGUGGAAUACUAUGGGAAGGCUCUGGAGGCGCUGGUGAAGGUCAUGAAGAUUAUGUGCAUUCAUGGAAAGAUGAAAUAUAAACGCAGUAAGAUCUUCAUGGAGUUCCGCAAAUUGCAAAGUGGGAUUUUAGUGUGCACUGAUGUGAUGGCCCGGGGAAUCAAUAUUCCUGAAGUCAACUGGGUUUUGCAGUAUGACCCUCCCAGCAGUGCAAGCGCCUUCGUGCAUCGCUGAGGUCGCACGGCCCGCAUUGGCCACAGGGGCAGUGCUCUGGUGUUCCUUCUGCCUAUGGAAGAGUCAUACAUCAAUUUCCUUGAAAUUAACCAAAAAUGCCCCCGCAGGAGAUGAAGCUCCAGAAAAACACAGUGGACCUUCUGCCAAAACUCAAGUCCAUGGUCUUGGCCGGCAGAGCUGUGUUUGAAAAGGGCAUGAGAGCUUUUGUGUCGUAUAUCCAGGCUUAUGCAAAGCGUGAAUGCAACCUGAUUUUCAGAUUAAAGGAUCUUGAUUUAGCCAGCCUUGCUCGAGGCUUUGCCCUGUUGAGGAUGCCCAAGAUGCCAGAAUUGAGAGGAAAGCAAUUUCCAGAUUUUGUGCCUGUGGACAUUAAUACAGACACUAUUCAAUUUAAAGAUAAAAUUAGAGAAAAGCAGAGGCAGAAACUCCUGAAGCAACAAAGAAAAGAGAAAACAGAAAAUGAUAAGAGGAGAAAAUUCAUAAAAAAUAAAGCUUGGUCAAAGCAGAAGGCCAAAAAAGAAAAGAAGAAAAAAAUGAAUGAGAGGAGGAAAAGGGAAGAGGGUUCUGAUAUUGAAGAUGAGGACAUGGAAGAACUUCUCAGUAACACAAGACUCUUGAAAAAACUUUAAAAAGGCAAAAUAACUGAAGAAUUUGAGAAGAGCUUGUUGACAACUGGCAACAGAACAAUCAAGACAGAAGAUUUUGGGAUCUCAGAUUUGGAAGAGGACAGCUGAUUCCAGUGCCACAGAUGAACCCACAAAGGCAUAGUGAUUCCUUAACUUGGUGGAUGGCUCCAGUUUGCUUUCAGUGGAAAUCAAAACUUCAGGAGACAUCUGAGAAGAAUCACAUCUCUGAAAGCUGUCCUUUCAGACUAGAGGGAAAUGAGGAAUUUCACAAUUGUGAAUAUUUUACUGAAAACAGUCCAGUCUUGGCCAAAUGUGGUGGCUCUUGCCUGCAAUCCCAGCACUUUGGCAGGCAGAUCACUUGAGCCCAGGAGUUCAAGACCAGCCUGGGCAACACAGUGAGACCCUCUCACUAAAAACAACAAAACAAAACAAUUACAGUCUUGAAAUAGUCUAACAAAAGAAAAUGCAAAAUUAUUUGAGUGUAAACAAUAAAGUCAAUAUUUAUCAUGAUGGGUCACAUAGAUAUAUAUGAGCAUUUAUAUAUAUAUACAUAUAUGAGCUUUUUCUGAGGCUAUAUUUUUAGUUAUUUAUUUUUAAACAUAAAGAUACUGAAGUAUACUUGACUUUUGGUUUUCAAAACCAUUUCUUAGUAUCUUCGGGCACUUGACCUCCCUGAAUAUCCUUGGCCCUGGGCUUCAGUUAUCCUUUGAUGCCCUGAAAAGGUGGCUAAUGUGCUGUGGUUUUUCUAUGUUAAGAAUAGUCCCAGUAUUGUUUUAUUGGUGAAUAGCUGAAAAACAGAGGAAUUAAGUCAUAUUCCAGGAAGGAGAGUUAGUUUUAGUGCCUUCUGUUGAAUAAAUGGCAUCCU